UAGUAAUAGAUAUAGGCUUGAAACUUAAAGAAUUUGGCGGUAUUUUAAUCUUUUCAGAGGAACCUGUUCUAUAAUCGAUAUUCCACGUUAAAUUUUACUAAAUUAUUUAUAUAUCGUUGUCGAAAGAAUAAAUUUUCUAAUAUUUUAAAGAAAAUAGAUGUCAAAUCAAGGUGUAGUUGAUAAUUUAGUAGAAAUGGGUUACAAUAAAUUUAUUUAGAAAAAUUUAGAAGGAGGAUUUGAAAGUAAAUUAAUUUUAAUAAAU
rnacentral:rRNA from 1 species